UACGUAGGGGGCAAGCGUUGUCCGGAUUUACUGGGCGUAAAGAGCGUGUAGGCGGCCAAGCAGGUCCGUUGUGAAAACUGGAGGCUUAACCUCCAGACGUCGACGGAAACCGCGUGGCUAGAGUCCGGAAGAGGAGAGUGGAAUUCCUGGUGUAGCGGUGAAAUGCGCAGAUAUCAGGAAGAACACCAAUGGCGAAGGCAGCUCUCUGGGACGGUACUGACGCUGAGACGCGAAAGCCAGGGUAGCAAACGGG
rnacentral:rRNA from 1 species